CUAAGGAAUAUUACGGAGACUACACUGGUUGUUUUAUACUUUGUUCAGUUUUGAGAGGUCUACUCAAUGAUUGAAGAGUCAGGUUAUGACUUUGAUAUUAGAGGAUACUCUCAAGAGAAUACUUUGUUCAUUGAAAACUGGAUAUUUGAAGUAAAUUAAGUAAUACAAACCGAGAACACCGCGUUGAAUUUGAAGGCUAAACACUUGUUUAGCUGGAUAGAGUUUUUUAAUAAGUUCAAUUGCUUAUUUUCUUGAUCGGACUUCUAUCGCUAGAAGAAAGAUCAAAACCCAACCGCAAGGUUGAUAA
rnacentral:misc_RNA from 1 species